rnacentral:rRNA from 1 species
UACGUAGGGUGCAAGCGUUGUCCGGAAUUAUUGGGCGUAAAGAGCUCGUAGGCGGUUUGUCGCGUCUGCUGUGAAAUCCCGAGGCUCAACCUCGGGCCUGCAGUGGGUACGGGCAGACUGGAGUGUUGCAGGGGAGACUGGAAUUCCUGGUGUAGCGGUGAAAUGCGCAGAUAUCAGGGAGGGAACACCCGGGUGGGCGAA